rnacentral:lncRNA from 1 species
GGGCUUAUCAGCUGAGUCACCGAGUCACUGGAGACACUGAACCCUGGAGCGCUGAAGCUGACCAGAGUUGCAUAUCUUUCUACGCUGGUGAAAUAUUUACACUAGACAUUAUAAAUCUGAGUGACAAAUCUGGGAAACCACCUGAAAAGCCACAGGAAAUAUUCUAUCCUUAUUCAAUAUGGAACUACUUCAUGGCACAAAGGAAAAUAAAAACAAAGGAAUUGAAAUCUCAGAGUAAAUGUGCAGUGAAUGAGUGUGCACAUGAGUGUGUGUGUAUGUUCCUGUGUGUUCCUGUGUGUGCAUGUGACUGAUUGUGUGCUUGUGUGUACAGGUGUGCAUGCCCAUGUGUGCCCACUGUGGCCAGAAGAGGACAUUGGGCAUUCUGCUCUGCCUACCACCCUCUGCCUUUCCACUUGAAGCGGGGUAUCUCAAUGACUCGGGAGCUGUCUAUUUUGAUUACGCUGGAGGCUAGCUGGCUCUUGGCAUUAGACUGUCACUGUUUCCCACGUGUGGGUUUUAUGUCAACUCUGGUCCUCAUGCUUGUGAGCACUGUUACCCACUGAGCUACCUCUCUAGACCUAAAAUAUCUUUUACCAGGACCAGAAUUCUGUUCUGUUUGGCUACCAUCUAGAACAAGGUAGAAAGUACACCACACACGCCCCAGCUGGUUCCAUAACAGAAACCCAGCAUGCAAUGGUGCAAUGGUUCAAUGGUGCACCACUGCUCACAACUCUGUUAGCCCAGUUUCGCACUGGACACCAGCACGAAUGGAAUAAAGUUUUGGCAAAACCUCAAAGGUAUUUUAAAAUUCUGUAUCUACAAGUAAAUAUAAUUUUAUCACAGUGAUACCUAAACACAAAGUCAAUAAAACUUAAAAGAAAAUACACACUCUCUGCUAAAACACCAAGCCAGUAGACUAAAUUUUCAGCACAUGAUUUAAAACAAGUAAUUUGUGUUUAUUCUAACUUCAUGGAUGUGGCAGGGUAUGCAAAGUUGGAGAGAUGUUGGUAGGAAAAUGGCUAUGAUAAAGUUGGGGUCUGAUCCCUUUACUAAGCAUGUCUGUGACCAGAAUUCUGUUUUAGUCCUUCAAUCUCAAAAAGCAGAAUGAUAGGAAACACUGGGAGAG